GACGAACUGUUCAAACGUUAUUCGGAAUCACUGGGCUUAAAGGGCGCGUAGGCGGUCUAGUAAGCGAGGUCUGAAAUCCCGCGGCUCAACCGCGGAACUGGGCUUCGAACUGUUAGACUAGAGUGAAGUAGGGGCAAGCGGAACUUGCGGUGGAGCGGUGAAAUGCUUUGAUAUCGCAAGGAACACCGGUGGCGAAAGCGGCUUGCUUGGCUUUAACUGACGCUCAAGCGCGAAAGCUAGGGUAGCGAAC
rnacentral:rRNA from 1 species